rnacentral:rRNA from 1 species
UACAGGGGGUGCAAACGUUGCUCGGAAUUAUUGGGCGUAAAGCGCGCGUAGGCGGCUACUUAAGUCGGAUGUGAAAGCCCCUGGCUCAACUGGGGAAGUGCACCCGAAACUGAGUGGCUUGAGUGCGAAAGAGGGUCGCGGAAUUCCCGGUGUAGAGGUGAAAUUCGUAGAUAUCGGGAGGAACACCGGUGGCGAAGGCGGCGACCUGGGUCGACACUGACGCUGAGGCGCGAAAGCAUGGGGAGCAAACAGG